GCAGAGUGAUUCAACUACAGCUGAAUGCAGGACUAGUUAAACCAGCUGAAAAACAGAGCAUUCUCUUAGUACAGGCACAGCGUGGAUCCAAACACCUUCAGACUCAGGGAUGAGUAGAAAUCAGAGUGUCCUGGGGGAAUGUUCUUUAGAUGGACUGUUCUUAAAUGACACCCUCUUUGGAGACUCUAUUCCUUUCUGUUGUGGAAGCCUUAGAACUUAGAAUUAAUUUGUAUGCCGCAAUGGAAAUAGAAAAACAUACAUGUUGCAAUUUUUAACAGAAGAUGCAUUAGAAAUGUGAUCCAAGGACAGAGAUCCCACUAGGUAAGGUUCUGCUUUUCCCAAAUGACUCAUAAAGCAGUUGUACAACUAGAGAGCUUAGACUUGUUUUGGUUUUUUGGCCUUGUGUUAUAGACACAUUCAGUAUUUUUAUGCAUUACAAACUAAAACCACAGUAAACAAACAGCCUAUUGAAGCUGUUUGGAAUUGGUAGAUGCAUUCAGUCUGGCAACUCCUAAUUACAUCAUCAGCUGUUUGCCUGUUUUUAAUUCAGGAUGUUAACAUCUUACUCUCCUAAGCAAAUGGUUGCACACCUCAAGCUAGCAAACAUAUUAGUCUUUAGAAAUCUACGCAUCUACUAAUACUCAUUUCUAGACCCAUCUUUUUAGAUAAAGUACAUUUUGUGAUUGAAAUAUACUGACAUCUCUGUGCAUGGCUAUACAUGGAAAGAAAUCUGCAUUAUUCAUUUAUGUUUUCUCAGAAAUAGUAACUCACAUGUAAAAUUAUGGAAAAGAAUAACUUGUAUUUUUAGGGCAUGCUGGCAGACAAGCUGAUAUGGGGGAGUUUAGUGCCUACCACUAUCCUGGGUCUGAUGCAUCUGACAAUUUUCAGUGAUGCAGGAAAUGCUUCACUGGCCUAAAAUGGUACAUAAAGCCACUCUUGAAAGAGGACAAAUUACCAAAGCUCAUUUAGAAUUAAAUAGUGGGACAGUUAUUUUGAUUUCAGGACGUUCCCUUUGUUUUACAUCAGCAACUGUCUUGCAUGACUGAAAUAUCAUAGGUUAUUCCAGGAUAAGGAACAGAGUGUAGCCUCAGCUUUUCCUCUUUAGACUUAAAUUCCUUUUAAAUUCCAUAGGAAUGAUUCCCCAAAACCUGAGGAUUACUGUCAGCUGUCCAAGAUUCCAUCAAAUUUUCAAAAUAUUUUUAAGCCUGAACAUAGCAUUUGCAAGUGUAAGCAAAGCUGCAUGAAGCAGAAUUAUUUUCCAGUCCUUAAAACUCAUAUCCUAUUUAUAUAUCUGGUACAAUACUAAUUUUUUUGCAACUUCAUCACAUUGUGAACUCCUGUCUCAUUUGCUGUCCAUCACCCUCAGGUCUUCCUCUGCAUUUCUGCAACAUGAUUAGGGAACUAGCCUUAAGUAAAAAUAACCAACUCAAUCAACCCUUACUUAGAAUUUUGAGAAUUCAGACAAUCCAAGGGAAUAUUCCUCUACUCUCCCAACUCCAUCUUCUCUAGUCACACUGCAAAUAAGCACAUUUACUCCCAACACCCAGUAAUCCUGUUAUAAUUAUUUCUCAGAAAACCUCUGCUGUGGGUUGAGAGGAAAUGGAGAAGAGCAUAAAAUAACUGUGCCAGAGGCUCCAGUCCUAUCAGGAAAAGGUAAGCAUUCCUUCAAACACCUGCUGCAAGCCUACCACUAUUUACACCUUAGGGUAGAAAUAAGAACUGCUGCAUUAUGAUCCUUUGCUCCAGCACCUUUUCAUUAAGAACACCUAUUGAAGCAUUUCACUACCAUCUCUGGAUUCCCCCAAAGCCCCAUACAGCUGGAAAAUUCCUGCUUGGUCACAAGUGAGCAUUUUCUUCUGCUUUGUGAAAGGGCACUAUUAAAUUUGAAGUAUGCUGAAGCUACAUUUGACACUAUAUUUCUGCAAUCAAUACCAUUACAAACUUACACAUAAAGCAGAGUAAGAUGACAUUCUUAGUUGAUACGAUUUUAAAAGUUGAUGUUUCAUGAAAAUAAAGACAAUACAACAAAAACCACUUUAAAUCAUGAUUUACUUUGUAUCAACAAGGUUACCUGUUGC